CCUACGGGGGGCAGCAGUGGGGAAUAUUGCGCAAUGGGCGAAAGCCUGACGCAGCGACGCCGCGUGAGGGAUGAAGGUCUUCGGAUCGUAAACCUCUGUCAGCAGGGAAGAACGGUCACUGUGCUAAUCAGCAGUGAAUUGACGGUACCUGCAAAGGAAGCACCGGCUAACUCCGUGCCAGCAGCUGCGGUAAUACGGAGGGUGCGAGCGUUAAUCGGAAUUACUGGGCGUAAAGGGCGCGUAGGCGGUAUGUCAAGUCAAGGGUGAAAUCCCCGGGCUCAACGUCGGAACUGCCGUUGAAACUGGCAAACUGGAGUGGGUGAGAGGAUAGUGGAAUGCCAGGUGUAGGAGUGAAAUGCGUAGAUAUCGGGAGGAACAUCAGUGGCGAAGGCGACUAUCUGGCACAUAACUGACGCUGAGGAGCGAAAGCGUGGGUAGCAAACAGGAUUAGAUACCCGAGUAGUC
rnacentral:rRNA from 1 species